AGCGAACGCUGGCGGCAGGCCUAACACAUGCAAGUCGAACGAAGCCUUCGGGCUUAGUGGCGGACGGGUGAGUAACACGUGGGAACGUACCUUUUGGUUCGGAACAACUCAGGGAAACUUGAGCUAAUACCGGAUGAGCCCUUAGGGGGAAAGAUUUAUCGCCGAAAGAGCGGCCCGCGUUAGAUUAGCUAGUUGGGGAGGUAAAGGCUCACCAAGGCUACGAUCUAUAGCUGGUCUGAGAGGAUGAUCAGCCACACUGGGACUGAGACACGGCCCAGACUCCUACGGGAGGCAGCAGUGGGGAAUCUGGCGCAAUGGGCGAAAGCCUGACGCAGCCAUGCCGCGUGAAUGAUGAAGGUCUUAGGAUUGUAAAAUUCUUUUACCAGGGACGAUAAUGACGGUACCUGGAGAAAAAGCCCCGGCUAACUUCGUGCCAGCCGCCGCCGUAAAAC
rnacentral:rRNA from 1 species